rnacentral:rRNA from 1 species
AUUGAACGCUGGCGGCAGGCCUAACACAUGCAAGUCGAACGGUAACAGGAAGAAGCUUGCUUCUUUGCUGACGAGUGGCGGACGGGUGAGUCAUGUCUGGGAAACUGCCUGAUGGAUGGGGAUAACUACUGGAAACGGUAGCUAAUACCGCAUAACGUCGCAAGCCCAAAGAGGGGGACCUUCGGGCCUCUUGCCAUCGGCUGUGCCCAGAUGGGAUUAGCUAGUAGGUGGGGUAACGGCUCACCUAGGCGACGAUCCCUAGCUGGUCUGAGAGGAUGAACAGCCACACUGGAACUGAGACACGGUCCAGACUCCUACGGGAGGCAGCAGUGGGGAAUAUUGCACAAUGGGCGCAAGCCUGAUGCAGCCAUGCCGCGUGUAUGAAGAAGGCCUUCGGGUUGUAAAGUACUUUCAGCGGGGAGGAAGGGAGUAAAGUUAAUAUCUUUGCUCAUUGACGUUACCCGCAGAAGAAGCACCGGCUAACUCCGUG